AAUCGAACUUGGAGAUAGCUGGUUUUCUGCGAAAGCUAUAAAGGUAGCGCGUUUUCAGGGGCUGUUUAGAAGUGUAAGGCACUAGAAGACUCAAGAGAGUUAGAACCCAAGAAUAGCUAAACAGAGAGAGAAAAUAGACAGACUUAGAGCGAUAAGGUCCUAGGUCGAGAGGGAAACAACCCAGAACCAAAGUUAAGGUCAUGAAGAGGAUCGGAUAGUGUAAGGCCGGUUAAUCGACGAAGACACCUAAGAAGUAGGCUUGGAAACAGCCAGCUAGAGAGAACACGUAACAGUGCAUUAGAAGAGUGGGAGAGCGCCAAAAAUUCAGGUGGCAAAGAUCCGCACCGAAACUAGGAGAAGAGAAAGGGUAGCAGAACAAUUCGUAAAAAAUCGAAAGAGAAAAUGCAAAUAUGAGUAACGAACAUCAAAGAGAGAAUGAACCGGAGAGCCCGAGGAGUAAGAAGAAGCAGCCCCUAAGUCAAGAACCCCGAAAGGGGAGGAACGAUGGGAAGAAGAGAGGGAAGGAAUCGGGAAAAGCCGCUCUUAAAAGAACUGUACCAAUCUGACACAAGUGGGCAAGUAGAGAAUACAAAGGUUAAUGAAGAAUAAUCCUUAAGGAACUCGGCAAAAUGUCUCAGUAAGGAAACGAGAAUGAGACCAGGGAGGAGCAUAGAAUCGGGGAGGCCGACUGUUUACCAAAAACAUAGCUUUUAGCGAACACGAAAGUGGAAGUAAUAGAAGCGACCCCUGCCCAAUGAUUGUAUCCGAAAUGUCAAUAUGAAAGUAUGGACAAUAAGGGCAAUUUAAUGGCCGCAGUAACUCUGACUGUGAUAAUGUAGCGCAAUCAAUAGUCAAUUAAUUGUUGACAGGUAUGAAAGGGGUAACGAGUUUCCCACUGUCUCAAGGAUUAAUCGCGUGAAAUUGGAGACGUAGUGAAGAUACUAUGAAAAGAACGUCACGGGACAAGAAGACCCUGUCAGCUUAACUGUUAUUAUGAUCGGCGAUGGAAGGUCAAAGAGAGUAGUAAGAACUGGGAAAUCUAAAGAGACAAAUGAAAAACCAGGAUCAAGGACCAAACAAAGCUAAACAUUAAAAAAAACAAAAUAAGAAAAAGCAUAAGAGACAGUUUGGUUGGGGCGACAGCCUUUUAAAAGGUAACAAAGGCUUACAAAGGUAGACAAAGAAGUGCAAUAGCAAAAGUCUGCUUGACUGUGAGUAGGAUAUUACGAGCAGGGACGAAAGUCGGUUAUAGUGACCAGCUAGAAGGGAAUGGAAAAGCUAGCAAUCAGAAGGGAAGUUACGACAGGGAUAACAGGGUAAUACCGCCUAAGAGUCCAUAUCGACGGCGGAGUUUGCCACCUCGAUGUUGAAUCGGCGCUGCUCGGGGGUGUAGAAGCUCCCAAGAGUCGGACUGUUCGUCCGUUAAAGCGCCACGUGAUUUGAGUUCAGACCGUUGUAAAACAGGUCGGCUUAUAUCUGUGAUGUGAGAGAAACCAAGAUCAAGAUUUAGAUUGUACGCAAGGACCUCUAAGUCUGUCCCACUGAUGUACCUGUUGUCAAGAGGCAUAGCAGGGUAGUUACGGACAAACGGAUAAGAGCUGAAAGCAUCUAAAGCACGAAGCCGAAGAAAGAAAGUUUCAAGGAUAGCAGGAGACUACUGCAAAGAUAGGCUGUGUGUGAAGCGUAUGAGAAUAUGUGGGCAGAACAGUACUAAAGAUCCAGGCACUUAAAC
rnacentral:rRNA from 1 species